UAGCUAAAGAGGCUCUCCAGAAUGGACUGAGUCUGCUCCCGGAGUUUCUCGGGCUCACCCCGACCCACCUUCCCUCCCUCUAUCAAUCUAUUGCCACCGAUCGCCCUUCUCCCCCACCCCCCACGUCUUCUGCAUGUUAUCUCUGACUCUGGACACACACCAGAUAAUGACAAAUGCCCUUGCAACACCUCUAAAUAGAUCAUCAGCCACAAAAAAAAAAAAAAAA